rnacentral:rRNA from 1 species
UACGGGAGGCUGCAGUAGGGAAUCUUCCGCAAUGGGCGAAAGCCUGACGGAGCAACGCCGCGUGAGUGAUGAAGGUCUUCGGAUCGUAAAACUCUGUUAUUAGGGAAGAACAAAUGUGUAAGUAACUAUGCACGUCUUGACGGUACCUAAUCAGAAAGCCACGGCUAACUACGUGCCAGCAGCCGCGGUAAUACGUAGGUGGCAAGCGUUAUCCGGAAUUAUUGGGCGUAAAGCGCGCGUAGGCGGUUUUUUAAGUCUGAUGUGAAAGCCCACGGCUCAACCGUGGAGGGUCAUUGGAAACUGGAAAACUUGAGUGCAGAAGAGGAAAGUGGAAUUCCAUGUGUAGCGGUGAAAUGCGCAGAGAUAUGGAGGAACACCAGUGGCGAAGGCGACUUUCUGGUCUGUAACUGACGCUGAUGUGCGAAAGCGUGGGGAUCAAACAGGAUUAGAUACCCUAGUAGUCCUGUCUCUUAUACACACU